UACAGAGGUGGCAAGCGUUGUUCGGAAUUACUGGGCGUAAAGGGCGCGUAGGCGGCGCGGUAAGUCGGGUGUGAAAUCUCGGAGCUUAACUCCGAAACUGCAUUCGAUACUGCCGUGCUUGAGGACUGGAGAGGAGAGUGGAAUUCCUGGUGUAGCGGUGAAAUGCGCAGAUAUCAGGAAGAACACCCGUGGCGAAGGCGGCUCUCUGGGACGUGACUGACGCUGAGACGCGAAAGCGUGGGGAGCGAACAGG
rnacentral:rRNA from 1 species